GGGGGAAGGAGGCAGCAAUCACAGCUUGGGGUCCGCCAGCGUCGGUCACCAGAUGAGUACGUGCGCACCCUUUGAAGGAAUGCCCAGUUUUGGAGAUGUGAUGCCAUCAAAUUUUCUGCAGUGUCAGAGCUUACUACUGAGUGGGCUGAGCAAGAAUAACUCCAAAUUAAAAUGUGGACAUUGAAAAUGCAUGCUCUCAAGACAUGUACAAAAUCUAACAGUUGUAACCAGAAAACUUUCUACAAAAGAUUCCGUUUCUGAUUGUUAGAGGUUGAUAACAUUUCUUUGUGUUAUGUAGACAUACAUAUAUCUACCAACACUUUCCCACCUCAAAAAGUCUUCACCACUACUGUAAGCGAUUGACCAAUCUGCAAAGGGUGCUCAAUGGCAAAGCAACCACAGCAAUGGCAACCAGAAAGAGAGGAUAAAGGUUUGGUAAAAGGUGGUUUGAAUGGCAGAACCUGAAGUGAAGGAUCCAGAAGGCUAAAGACAUCACUUUCACUUUAUUUUUGCAUAUUUGUUAUCCUCACUUGCUGGUAUAGAUCUUGCCACUUUUAAAUGGAACUGUAGAGUUUCAUGGAUUGCCAAGAAUGGCCAAUACAGUAAAAAUGGAAAAAAGUCUUCAGAUAAAGUGACAACAGUUAGUACAGGACAACAUCAAUUUGCAGAGAGUAAAAAUUCAUGGACAAGAACAAGCAGUAGGAAACAGCCAGGCUUGACAAAACAAAAACAAUUAGAGAAAAAGCAGAAGAGCCUCAACUCCCCCGUGAUGUGAUUACCCUAAUUACAGAAUGAGAUUAAUAUAAACAAUAAAGUUAAUUAGGGCAUAAAAGGAUCUUGAGGGCGGAAAGCUCUAGAAAGAAAAAUUGAAAAAAAAAUCAUGAAAAAAUAGCAUGCAUUAUAAAAAUGGAAGUCAUCCCUGAAUGGAGAGCCCUUCUAUGCCUCUCAUACUUCUGCGCCUCUCAUACUUCUGCAGAGACACUAUUGGUGCAAUUUGGUCAUCCACUUCAUCAAAAGAUAACAGACAUUGUCUGCAAGCAAGACCUAGGAAGGCCCAAAGACCCCCUGUUAUUAGAGGAGCAAGUCUGCAGUGUGCAGAAACCUUCUCAGCAUCAUUCCUGGUGCUCCUCAGCCCUGCAAGUGGCUGGCAGUUAUGACACCAUGUAAAUGUAAAGAUAUCAUGUGACACAUUUCAAAACCUAGGAUCAGUUUAGACUUUAAAUGUUUCUUCACAAUCAAAAGAGCUAGAAACUUUGAUUAUACCUACGUGCUAGAAUGGAGUGCAAUCUAUCUCUGCUGAGCAAUUCAGCAACAUUACCAAGGAGCUAAUCACCAGGUCAGCUCAUUAGACUAUUGUGGAUAGACCUGUUCAUAGGAUCAGAAAAAUUGGUCUGAAUUUAUACUAUGUGUGGAGCUGGUAAGCCAGGCACCAGUUGUGUCCAGUGUUCUUCUCUCAUGAUUCAGACUCAAGAAUCAUUAGGAUUUUAUACCUGAAAUAUGAGAAGAGACGUGAAAUAAUAGCCUUUACACACGUGUACAUUUAUAUGUAGAUAUGCACACAGAUCUUCACACAACAAAUCAACUUUCUCAUUUCCUUUUCAUUUAAAAGUGAUGGGAGAAAAUUAAAACCAAAAGCUAUGGAAAGAAGUAUUUGAGAAAGAGUUACAUGAAACCACUCAUAUGGAAAAAUCCAUGUAGAACUGACAUCAGAAAAGAAUUGCAUGUCCUCUCUCCUGUACAACCACAGCUGUGGCCACAUUCAUUCUCACAUUUGCUGCAGCUGAGCAUGCUCUUUUUUUAAUUAAAAGAAAUCUUUCAAACAGAAGAUAGUGUUCUUAACCACUUGGCUACUACUGUGACAGUCAUAUAUAUAAAUUUUGGCUUUCUCUGCAGAAGUAUAGGUUUGUUCUGAGCAAGGGUGUGUUUUCUGAGCUGGUUACUUGCAGUCAAACUCAUACUUUCCCACCACUAAUCUUUCAAGCAAUUACAAUUUCUGACUGUCUCCAUAGUAACCCAGAAGAGGAAUCAGCAUUGUAGGAGGGCCUGUCCACACACCCCAGAUGAUAUAGCAGGUUCUGCCAAGUCAUGGAGGUGUCCACAGACAAAGCUCCAGCUGCCUGACAGCAGCUGGAGAAGGAUCUUACCCACAGCAUUAAAAAAUACAAGGGUCCAAAUGCAAGCCCUAGGCAUGUAUUGCAGAAGUCCCCAUAAUCUGUGGCUGUGCCACUGCUUGCACAUGUGAGCAAUGUUCACACUCUUCUGGUGGUAAUUUGUACUUCUCUACAGCUGUACAGCAGAGAUGUGACCUUCAAUCUCCUGCAUUCAUUUGGGCAGUUUAAGGAGAAGCAGGCUUCUCUGCCCUCCUGGCCAUGUGGAGAGCUACAGGGGGAGCAGGAGAGGAAUGGAAGAGAUGUGGGAGACUCCAAUUGCUCCCACUGAUGGGCUGAUGACUCAUCAGACAUCAUUCAGAGUUGAUGGCUGAAGACUGCUCCAGGUUCCACCUACAACAUGCCUCUAUCUUCCAUUACCUACAGGUGAUAAUUUCCCAAGUCUUCAGGAGACUUUGGAUGAAGUCCAAAGAGAGAACUCGGUUCCUGACAUUGGGCACCAGACCUGCACCCUGACCACAUUUUCAGGAAGACUUUGUGGUAGGAACUGUUGUUUAGCAACAAGCAACCUUUUGAUUCCAAACACACUACAGCAAAGGACACCAAAAGAAGCAAGCAUCCUACAGGUACCUGGGGAAGAAAAAGACCAUACUCAUCCUAUUUAGGUGGAAAACACUUAAAAGAAUCACUAGGUUUGGCUGGUACCUAUUAUUUAGCCUUAUAUUGAAAAGGUUAAUCAUGCCACACAAUGCUUUAAGUUUUCACUCCCUGUAAUAAAAAGCAUACAUUUUAAACAUCA